rnacentral:lncRNA from 1 species
UUUCAAUUCUAAGAAAUGGAUUUGGAGAAAUGAUGAGGGAUGUCAUCACUCCUGAAAUCUCAGAUUCAUUAGCAACAGCAGCACAAGGGCUCAACACACAAACAUGAGCUGAAGACUCACAACAGUGAACUUGGUAGCUUAUCCAAUCAGCGAACGUUCUUUAAACUUGAUAAAACCCAGAGUUGGAGAGAUGUCUUAGCAGGAAAGCAUGGAUGCUGCUCUAGCAGAGGGCUGCAGCUCAGUUGUUAGAACCCACAUCUGACACCUCUGGCCUCUGAGGACUUCUGCACUCAUAUGAACAUGCUCCCACACAAACACAUGCAUGAUCAUGAUUAUGAAUAAUAAAAUAAAUCUUUAGAAGAAACAUAAACUUUAUGAAGUCUACUGCCAGCCAAGUAUUUGUAAAGAAGAGUCUACCAAUCUACCACCAGAAGUUCGGCAACAUGCAUCGAAAUGUUAAUGUUCCUGCCUUUAAUCGGGGUUCCUAAAAAGUUAGUCAAUAAGAUUAAAAAACAUCUCUAGAAAGGUACCUAACCCAACGUCAUAUAUUAUGUUAAGAACUAGAAAUGCUUCAAUGCCCAUCAAGAAAUGAUCAAGUGACUAUGACAGUGCAGGCUGGAAAUCACAAGCUACUGUGUACAUGGAGGGAUGUAGGUUACAGUUUUGCAUUGAUGUUAAAAUGUUGUCAUAAAAUCAUGUUACUAAGUGGUGGGAAACUAAUCUUUCUGCUUUCUUCCCAGCAUAGUUCCCUGAGCCUUGAAGGGGGGGACUUUGGUAAUGACAUCCCAUUCACAGAUGAGUGCUCUAACCUUUCUUACUCUCUCUGUACAUUACCAGUCCUGGGUCUCUGAGCUAAUUUCUAUCUACUGCAAGAAGCUUUUCUGCUAAGGAGUGAUUCAGGGUCACUGAUUUUUGGAACCAGCAAGCAGACCUCAGGGUUGAGAAAUUCACAGAACCCCCAAAGCACAGGAAACAAAAUUAAAAUAAGGCAAUAGGGUCACUCCAGGACUCCCCAAGCUCUGCCUGAUAUUUGGCUGUGAGACUCUACAUCUGCUCCAACAGUUGCUGGAUGAAGUCUCUCUGGUCUUUUUGAGGAGGAUUCUGCUAGGUCCCAGUCCCAGAACACUCCUCAGCUGUCAUGUGCCUUUAAGAUUUACACUCCAGUUUCCCCAUGACAUUGGGACAUGCAGUGUUUGAAUAUACAUAUAUGGUAAGAGCAUUUACUGGUCACAUUAUCUUGACCAGAAAAUGAAGAAAAGAAUGAAAGAAAAACAUGAAAAAAUAAGAAGUGUUCUCAUAUUCUCACCCAGAGGAGCACUGAUGGGUUAUGAACCCUUUCAGAGUCAUACAGCAGAGAGAAAUGGUUGCCUUGGUAACAAGACAGGCCAGUCAGUUGCGCACACUCUCCCAAGAGCUUCUAAUUUAUUCAGUAAAUGGAGGCUAGAACAGGUGGCUAACCUAGAUGAUGGCAAAAACCUUUAUCUCUGCAAUGCUGGCUUCCUCCACAUUCACUUGAAUACAAAUUCUAGUCUCUUUCCUUUAUGCUGGAAAAGUUAACAUGCCGAUGUGACUGCACAUGUCUUAGUACACAGGAAAGCUGUGAGCAUUUGUCAUUUUCUAACCACAUAUCAUAGUGUCUGAGAUUUCACAAAAUUAUGAUACCACAGCUUCGUGUCACCAGUUACUUUGAAAGUGAAAAUCACUGCAAGCCCGAUUACUGGUCUUCCAGUAAAUCAGAUAUCAUUGUGAAUUUUAAAAGGAAGAGAGAGUUUAU